rnacentral:rRNA from 1 species
AGGCUUCUAUGUUCUUAUAAACCCAUUAGUAUGUCUCUGAAUGUUUUUUAUUGGGACUUGAUUGGCCCUUUAAACUUGUACAACUUUUAGCAACGGAUCUCUUGGCUCUCCCAUCGAUGAAGAACGCAGCGAAAUGCGAUAAGUAAUGUGAAUUGCAGAAUUCAGUGAAUCAUCGAAUCUUUGAACGCACCUUGCGCCCUCUGGUAUUCCGGAGGGCAUGCCUGUUUGAGUGUCAUUAAAUUCUCAACUUCAAUAGCUUUUACUAGCUUAUUGAUGCUUGGAUGUGGGAGCUUGCUGGCGUCUUAGAUGUUCGGCUCUCCUUAAAGUUAUUAGUGGAAACCUCUUUGUUGGGUUAUUCCUGGUGUGAUAAUUAUCUACGCUUUGAAUAAUCUAAUGUUCCAUUGUAGACUUGAGAUUUCUCAGUAGAAAUACUGGUCUGGGUAUUGCAAUUAAAUUUGCUGUAUCUGUAAUCUCUCAGUAGCAAUACUGGUUUUGGCAUUGCAAUUAAAUUUGCUUUACCUGUAGUCUCAGAGGAAAAGGGAAGUUCUGCUUUCUAACCGUCUAUGUAUAUGGACAAUUUAUUGACUAUUUGACCUCAAAUCAGGUAGGACUACCCGCUGAACUUAA